CCUACGGGUGGCAGCAGUGGGGAAUAUUGGACAAUGGGCGAAAGCCUGAUCCAGCCAUGCCGCGUGUGUGAAGAAGGCCUUCGGGUUGUAAAGCACUUUCAGUGGGGAAGAAAGCCUUGGGGCUAAUACCCUCGAGGAAGGACAUCACCCACAGAAGAAGCACCGGCUAACUCCGUGCCAGCAGCCGCGGUAAUACGGAGGGUGCGAGCGUUAAUCGGAAUUACGGGGCGUAAAGCGCGCGUAGGCGGUCUGAUAAGCCGGUUGUGAAAGCCCCGGGCUCAACCUGGGAACGGCAUCCGGAACUGUCAGGCUAGAGUGCAGGAGAGGAAGGUAGAAUUCCCGGUGUAGCGGUGAAAUGCGUAGAGAUCGGGAGGAAUACCAGUGGCGAAGGCGGCCUUCUGGACUGACACUGACGCUGAGGUGCGAAAGCGUGGGUAGCAAACAGGAUUAGAUACCCCGGUAGUC
rnacentral:rRNA from 1 species